GAUGAACGCUGGCGGCGUGCCUAAUACAUGCAAGUCGAGCGAACGGACGAGAAGCUUGCUUCUCUGAUGUUAGCGGCGGACGGGUGAGUAACACGUAGAUAACCUACCUAUAAGACUGGGAUAACUUCGGGAAACCGGAGCUAAUACCGGAUAAUAUUUUGAACCGCAUGGUUCAAAAGUGAAAGACGGUCUUGCUGUCACUUAUAGAUGGAUCCGCGCUGCAUUAGCUAGUUGGUAAGGUAACGGCUUACCAAGGCAACGAUGCAUAGCCGACCUGAGAGGGUGAUCGGCCACACUGGAACUGAGACACGGUCCAGACUCCUACGGGAGGCAACAGUAGGGAAUCUUCCGCAAUGGGCGAAAGCCUGACGGAGCAACGCCGCGUGAGUGAUGAAGGUCUUCGGAUCGUAAAACUCUGUUAUUAGGGAAGAACAUAUGUGUAAGUAACUGUGCACAUCUUGACGGUACCUAAUCAGAAAGCCACGGCUAACUACGUG
rnacentral:rRNA from 1 species